AUACGUAGGGGGCGAGCGUUGUCCGGAAUGAUUGGGCGUAAAGGGCGCGUAGGCGGCCCGGUAAGUCUGGAGUGAAAGUCCUGUUUUUAAGAUGGGAAUUGCUUUGGAUACUGUCGGGCUUGAGUGCAGGAGAGGUAAGUGGAAUUCCCAGUGUAGCGGUGAAAUGCGUAGAGAUUGGGAGGAACACCAGUGGCGAAGGCGACUUACUGGACUGUAACUGACGCUGAGGCGCGAAAGUGUGGGGAGCAAACAGGAUUAGAUACCCUGGUAGUCCACACUGUAAACGAUGAAUGCUAGGUGUAGGGGGUAUUGACCCCUUCUGUGCCGCAGUCAACACAAUAAGCAUUCCGCCUGGGGAGUACGGCCGCAAGGUUGAAACUCAAAUGAAUUGACGGGG
rnacentral:rRNA from 1 species